rnacentral:rRNA from 1 species
CACGGGGGGAGCAAGCGUUGUUCGGAAUCACUGGGCGUAAAGGGCGUGUAGGCGGUCAAGUAAGUGGAAUGUGAAAGCCCCCGGCUUACCCGGGGAUCUGCAUCCCAAACUGCUUGGCUUGAGUACGGGAGAGGAUGGAGGAAUUCCUGGUGUAGCGGUGAAAUGCGGUAGAUAUCAGGAGGAACACCGGUGGCGAAGGCGUCCAUCUGGCCCGAUACUGACGCUGAGGCGCGAAAGCUAGGGGAGCGAACGGG